rnacentral:misc_RNA from 1 species
UGCAACAGCCCGUGCAACACUCAGCGCAGCUUGCGGAGCUUUUUCAUCAAACGUCCAAUACGAAGAAGCCGGCAACGAUGUUCAAGGUGGAUAAUUAUUCAAAUAUACUGACUGCACUUCUCUUGGAUGGUAAAAUUCUGAACUAAGCGAUAUCACGAGUGGACAGUAUUAACAAUAGGUUAGGUAUAAUUUUUGAGCGAUACCAGAAUAAUUUAACGCCACCAAUGCGUAGACACAACGCAUGAUAAUGUAACGUACCUGUGCAACGCGACACGAUUAACAAUUGCACGGUCGAAUAACGCAAUACACACUCGAAAGAUCGUGUCACAUCUCUGAAACGAGAGGUUGGAAGCGUAACACGCGAGAAGGGGGAUGGAAACACCAUAGGGACUAAACUUUGCCCGCUAGCAGUCCAUUAGAAGUGCACGGACGAUUUAGCAGAGAGAGGCUUUGCUCGCUGCUUUCCUAGUCUGCCUUUUAGGUCCAGCAAUUUGAUGCUGCUUGCCUGUCAUGCUAAUAUCCUAAGCUUUAUAUCGAGUCGAGUUUUUCCUUGCUUCUGAUAUAUGUUUCCUGGUAAGGGUACCUGUGGGACGCGUCGUUGAACACUCUGCAUAUUACUUUUUAUUGUAUGUUACUAGACGAUUUUUCUUCCGAGAAAUCUUGUUGCGAAAUUUUUCGUCUUUUGUACGAGAUACAACGAUACAAAUUGUGCUUCUCUAUUUUUCUUCUAUCUUUAGUUGGCACAUCUUUUAUAGGGG